CGAUCAAGGACGAGCUCGGCUCCGGCUGGCGACCGCGCGGUUGCUAACGCAGCACUGGCGGCGGAAAGGAAAAGCGGCCAGACGAAGACCAAGAGGCGGAGCCGCGGCGCCUGGGGCCCUUCGCGCAAGGUUUGGAUCUCAAAGAUCAUGGAAAAGUGGAGAUUCAUGGAGCUUCAGCUGCAAAGAAAUACAGUAUGAGGCCUUCCGUGAUGUCAUUACAGAUCAUGACAUAUGUCUGUAGUGGUAUCAGCGAUAGCUUCCUGUUUUGAGGAUUUGUGGAACCGCCUGGCAAUACUGGACAAAUGGAUUCCCCCUCAUAGAGAACAAAUCCAGCAUCAGAACAGUUUGAUACAGAGAGCUCCUUGCCUACAGAUAUGGCAUCUUGUUUGCAGCAAUCGUUUUCAGCCUGGCAAGGGAAAAAAACUCUCUGCAGCAACUUGCGAAAUCCCAUAAGAUUUAACUAAUCAACAUCCUAGUCAUACAGGAUUUAGUAGCAGUGAAAAACACAAAGAGAUUUUAUACGUGUGUGUGGUUGUAAACAGCAAAGCACUCAUGCUAAAUUGUUCCCUGCGUUUUUCAUGUAACUUGAUUUUGCCUUUAAAAAAAGUUAUUUGCAGAUAAGAAAAUGGUGCCUCAGAGAGAGGGGUAAUUGGCCACAAAAUGUCAUCCUAACGUUCAGUUUUCUGUGUGCAAGAAACUGGGGGUUGGGGAUGGGGAAAAUAAGGAGCUUGGUAGGUGAAAUGAUGUCACCAAACAUAAACCCAAACUAUUUCUCGAAAAAAGAAAACAGAAAUUGGAAUAAUUAGCUCAAUCAAAAUCAUGCAGAAUAACACAAACAUUGUAUCCAUAGGGCAAGCCAAUGCCCAGGAGCAUCAGUAGGACUUUUCACUCCCUCAGGCUCAUGUUGCCAUAGCAUUGGCCAAACAUAAACAUAAAAAACCCACCAGCCUUGACACCCUGGGCAGAAUGUGAUGAUGUUGAAAGUGGGAAAAGAGCAAUGAGUAUAAACACAGCAGCUCAGCACUGGCACAGCAGCGUGAGUUUUCAAAAGAGGAACCUGAAGGAGCCAAAUGCAGAGAUAGUAAACAAUUGACAGAUGUGCACUGUUUGAAUAAACACAUCAUUGGCAGGCA
rnacentral:lncRNA from 1 species